UAUGUGUAGUUGCAAAAAAUUUGAGUUUGCUGGUAUUUUGUGCUCACACAUUCUUAAAGUUUUGUCUUCCAAAAAUAUUAUAAAGAUUCCCGAACAAUAUAUUCUAAGAAGGUGGACAAAAAAUGCAAAAACAGAAACAAUUGCACGAGUUUCUUACGAGAGUAGUGCAACUAAUGAGGAUCCUAAGACAAGUAUGGCAAGGCGUUAUAAAGAGUUGUGUAGGUUGCAAACUCAAAUAGCAACAAGGGGGUCAGAAACCGAAGAAGCAUAUAAUAUUGUUAUUCAUGGUUUUAAUAGGAUCUUGGAAACUAUCGAUACAAGCACAUUCACCCAACAGAUGCAAUCUUGUACUUCAACCACCAUGUCUAACCGCAAUGAGAAUAAUAUUGUUGAUGGAGUUGGUAAAGUAGCAGGAAUUAAGCAUAAGGAAAGAAUUCGUGGUAGCUCUAUGAGGCCAAAAAGUGCUCUUGAAAAGGGUAAGAAAAAGAAAAAAGUUGUCCAAGCUCAACAGGUACCUUAAGUUAACUUAUUGUUACUCUAUUAAAUCUUAAGAUUGUGUUGAAUGUUUCUAAAAAAUUUAUUACACUGUUAAUAUUUUGUGCUGCAGGUUUCACAGAAUUCAUUAGAUCUCACACCAACACUUAACACUAGUCAAGUACAUUUCCAUUGUCUAAAAAUAUUUUUAUCUUUAUUCACACAAUUUGUUAAAAUAAAUAAUUAUCUUGUAUUAUACACAGAUUGAAUCUCAUGUUGAUAUUGAACAUCUUACUACGGUGCCAAGUUUUCUUGAAUUAUUAAAACAGGUUGAGCCACUUCAUUCAACUGCAUCAUUUCAAAGAUUUGGAGCAUAGAAAUUGACAGAAGCAUGAAGAAGACUUGAGGUUGAGACACAUCAUUCAACUUCAUCAUUUCAAAGAUUUGGAGCAUAGAAAUUGACAGAAGCAUGAAGAAGACUUGAGGUUGAGACACAUCAUUCAACUUCAUCAUUUCAAAGAUUUGGAGCAUAGAAAUUGACAGAAGCAUGAAGAAGACUUGAGGUUGUUAUUUGCAGUUGCUGGUUGCUAGUUUUUACACAAAUACUUGUUAUUAAGUAGUACAUUAAAGACUCAUUUUUCUUUGUUUGCUGGUUGUAUAA